rnacentral:rRNA from 1 species
UAUAUCCUACGGGGGGCAGCAGUCGAGAAUCAUUCACAAUGGGGGAAACCCUGAUGCAGCGACGCCGCGUGAGUGAAGAAGUAAUUCGUUAUGUAAAGCUCUAUCAGCAGGGAAGAAACAGACGGUACCUGAGUAAGAAGCCCCGGCUAACUACGUGCCAGCAGCCGCGGUAAUACGUAGGGGGCAAGCGUUAUCCGGAUUUACUGGGUGUAAAGGGAGCGUAGACGGCGAAGAAAGUCUGAAGUGAAAGCCCGCGGCUUAACCGCGGAACUGCUUUGGAAACUUUUUUGCUGGAGUACCGGAGG